ACUCCUACGGGAGGCAGCAGUAGGGAAUCUUCCACAAUGGGCGAAAGCCUGAUGGAGCAAUACAGCGUGCUGGAUGAAGGCCUUCGGGUUGUAAACAGCUGUUAUUAGGGAAGAACAACAUUAGUAGGAAAUGACUAAUGCCUGACGGUCCUAAGAGAG
rnacentral:rRNA from 1 species